rnacentral:tRNA from 1 species
UCUGAGCUGGUGUAUUUAGGCAUGUAAGACUUUCAAUCUUGUGGAGAGUAAUUUUUUUCUCGCUCAGAU